rnacentral:lncRNA from 1 species
AGCUCCUUAUGAGUCACUUUAAAGAAUUCCCUUUUGUGUUUUCCUAGGGCCAUCCAGGAGUUCCCGGUUUCAUGGGGCCCCCGGGGAACCCUGGGCCACGGGGAGCCGACGGAAUUGCUGGAGCUGCUGGCCCUCCAGGAAUCCAAGGGCCACCGGGGAAAGAAGGUCCUCCUGGCCCCCAAGGUCCAUCUGGAUUACCCGGAAUCCCAGGAGAAGAAGGCAAAGAGGGCAGAGAUGGAAAACCAGGUCCCCCCGGAGAACCGGGCAAAAUGGGAGAGCCAGGUCUGCCAGGACUGGAGGGAGCCCGAGGCCCACCUGGCUUCAAAGGACACACCGGCGACUCUGGCGCACCUGGUCCCCGGGUAAGUGGAUGUCUAGCCGUG